UAGGGAAUAUUGCAAAAUGGGCGAAAGCCCGAUGCAGCAACGCCGCGUGGGCGAUGAAGGCCUUCGGGUCGUAAAGCCCUUUUUGAGGGGAUGAGGAAGGACAGUACCCUCAGAAUAAGCCUCGGCUAACUACGUGCCAGCAGCCGCGGUAAAACGUAGGAGGCGAGCGUUAUCCGGAUUUACUGGGCGUAAAGCGCGUGCAGGCGGAUUGGAGAGUUGGAUGUGAAAGCUCCCGGCUUAACUGGGAGAGGUCGUUCAAUACUUCCAGUCUUGAGUGCAGUAGAGGGAAGUGGAAUUCCGGGUGUAGUGGUGAAAUGCGUAGAUAUCCGGAGGAACACCAGUGGCGAAAGCGGCUUCCUGGACUGCAACUGACGCUCAGACGCGAAAGCUAGGGUAGCAAACG
rnacentral:rRNA from 1 species